GGAGUAACAAGAGAAAGCUUCUUGGCAGAGCUUCAAGACGAAGACGAACAGAUAGGAAACUCCAGCUCAGAGGUUGGAAAGGAGCUGGCUCCUGCACUCGCUCCCUGCUUCUCCCGAUGCAGGAUUUUUGAUCUCCGCCGGUGGACGCCGUGCUCAGGGGACUGGCACUAUUCCCCUCAUUUCCUAAAAGCCCCAGUGGAGCUCCAGGAUGGCUCCUGAGCCGGCCCAGCUCCCUGCAGCCUGCCCUGGCCACAGCUGCCUGUCCAUGUGUGUGCGGGCAGGAUCCUCCGACACACUGUAGAUCAAACCACAUCAAAGGGCCGCAGCGCAGAGCCACUGCCGCUCCCCUCAACUCCCUUGCCUUCAAAAGGUUUGAGGAAAGACCUGGAUAAAGGAGCACUUCCUGCUUUCUGAUGUGUGGGUAAGCCAGGAAAUAUUACCCUAUCUGCACAGCCCACCUAGGACAAGUGACAGCAGGUCUCUUUAAGUGUCCUUGUAGCCAUGAUUAAAAUAAUCAAUGUUUUUUACCUUUAA